CGCUGAGGACGUAGCUUGCUAUUGAAUCUUGUUUAGCUUAGUGGCGGACGGGUGAGUAACGCGUGAGCAACCUACCUUUCAGAGGGGGAUAACGUUUGGAAACGAACGCUAAUACCGCAUGAUAUUAUUGGGCAGCAUUGCCUGAUAAUCAAAGGAGCAAUCCGCUGAAAGAUGGGCUCGCGUCCGAUUAGGUAGUUGGCGGGGUAACGGCCCACCAAGCCGACGAUCGGUAGCCGGACUGAGAGGUUGAACGGCCACAUUGGGACUGAGACACGGCCCAGACUCCUACGGGAGGCAGCAGUGAGGGAUAUUGGUCAAUGGGGGAAACCCUGAAC
rnacentral:rRNA from 1 species